AUUUUAACUGAAGAGUUUGAUCAUGGCUCAGAUUGAACGCUGGCGGCAGGCUUAACACAUGCAAGUCGAGCGGGGGAAGGUAGCUUGCUACUGGACCUAGCGGCGGACGGGUGAGUAAUGCUUAGGAAUCUGCCUAUUAGUGGGGGACAACAUCUCGAAAGGGAUGCUAAUACCGCAUACGUCCUACGGGAGAAAGCAGGGGAUCUUCGGACCUUGCGCUAAUAGAUGAGCCUAAGUCGGAUUAGCUAGUUGGUGGGGUAAAGGCCUACCAAGGCGACGAUCUGUAGCGGGUCUGAGAGGAUGAUCCGCCACACUGGGACUGAGACACGGCCCAGACUCCUACGGGAGGCAGCAGUGGGGAAUAUUGGACAAUGGGGGGAACCCUGAUCCAGCCAUGCCGCGUGUGUGAAGAAGGCCUUAUGGUUGUAAAGCACUUUAAGCGAGGAGGAGGCUACUUUAGUUAAUACCUAGAGAUAGUGGACGUUACUCGCAGAAUAAGCACCGGCUAACUCUGUGCCAGCAGCCGCGGUAAUACAGAGGGUGCGAGCGUUAAUCGGAUUUACUGGGCGUAAAGCGUGCGUAGGCGGCUUAUUAAGUCGGAUGUGAAAUCCCCGAGCUUAACUUGGGAAUUGCAUUCGAUACUGGUGAGCUAGAGUAUGGGAGAGGAUGGUAGAAUUCCAGGUGUAGCGGUGAAAUGCGUAGAGAUCUGGAGGAAUACCGAUGGCGAAGGCAGCCAUCUGGCCUAAUACUGACGCUGAGGUACGAAAGCAUGGGGAGCAAACAGGAUUAGAUACCCUGGUAGUCCAUGCCGUAAACGAUGUCUACUAGCCGUUGGGGCCUUUGAGGCUUUAGUGGCGCAGCUAACGCGAUAAGUAGACCGCCUGGGGAGUACGGUCGCAAGACUAAAACUCAAAUGAAUUGACGGGGGCCCGCACAAGCGGUGGAGCAUGUGGUUUAAUUCGAUGCAACGCGAAGAACCUUACCUGGCCUUGACAUACUAGAAACUUUCCAGAGAUGGAUUGGUGCCUUCGGGAAUCUAGAUACAGGUGCUGCAUGGCUGUCGUCAGCUCGUGUCGUGAGAAAUGCAAUCCAAAAAAAGUUUAACGCUAGUAUACGUGAAAAACGAUUGAAGCCCUAAAUCGAGGUACAAAGGAGAGCUAAAGCCAUAAAUAGUGAACAAAAAAUUAUUCAAAAACUUUUAUUGAUAAAAAAAGGUUAUAAAAAAAUAAAGAAUUAUUCAUGUAAGUUUUGCUAAAUAUUGACUGAGUAUUAUCGUUCUUGGCUUUCCCAAUAUUAUUUGCUUCUAUAGAAUGGAGAAUGAUCAAAUUAUGAUGAUGAGUCAAUAUUCCGACUGAUCUAACGCUAUAUCAGUAUCAUUCAGCCAGAGUGGAAGUCAUUUCACUCAAGCACAACUUGUUGGAAACACAAAUGCCUGACUAUCGUUCAAAAACAUCGACACACGGAAGAAAUAUGGCUGGCGCACGUGGCUUAUGGCGUGCAACAGGAAUGAAAGAUGAAGAUUUCGGCAAACCGAUUAUUGCAGUGGUCAAUUCAU
rnacentral:rRNA from 1 species